GGCUCAGAACGAACGCUGGCGGCGUGGAUAAGACAUGCAAGUCGAACGCUGAUUAUGAGGUAGCAAUAUUUCAUAGUCGGAGUGGCGCAAGGGUGCGUAACACGUGGGCAAUUUGCCGUGAAGUUGGGGAUAACUCGCUGAAAGGCGAGCUAAUACCGGAUGUGACAGUCUGAAGGCAUCUUUAGAUUGUUAAAGUUGGGGACCGAAAGGCCUGACGCUUCACGAUAAGCCCGCGGCCUAUCAGCUAGUUGGCGGGGUAACGGCCCACCAAGGCUAAGACGGGUAGCUGGUCUGAGAGGACGACCAGCCACACUGGAACUGAGAGACGGUCCAGACACCUACGGGUGGCAGCAGUCGAGAAUUUUUCACAAUGGGGGAAACCCUGAUGGAGCGACGCCGCGUGGGGGAUGAAUGGCUUCGGCCCGUAAACCCCUGUCAUUUGCGAACAAAUUGCAUCCACUAACACCGGAUGCAUUGAUUGUAGCGGAAGAGGAAGGGACGGCUAACUCUGUGCCAGCAGCCGCGGUAAUACAGAGGUCCCAAGCGUUGUUCGGAUUCACUGGGCGUAAAGGGUGCGCAGGUGGUCGGGUAAGUCUGAUGUGAAAUCUCGUGGCUCAACCACGAAACUGCAUUGGAUACUAUCCGGCUAGAGGUUCGGAGGGGGGACUGGAAUUCUCGGUGUAGCAGUGAAAUGCGUAGAUAUCGAGAGGAACACCAGUGGCGAAGGCGAGUCCCUGGACGACACCUGACACUGAGGCACGAAAGCUAGGGGAGCAAACAGGAUUAGAUACCCUGGUAGUCCUAGCCGUAAACGGUGCGUAUUUGCUGUAAAAGGAAUCGACCCCUUUUGUGGCGUAGCUAACGCGAUA
rnacentral:rRNA from 1 species